UACGGAGGGGGCGAGCGUUAUUCGGAAUUACUGGGCGUAAAGGGCGCGUAGGCGGUUCGCUAAGUCGGAUGUGAAAACUCUGGGCUCAACCCAGAGCCUGCAUCCGAAACUGGCGGGCUAGAGUUCUGGAGGGGGUAGCGGAAUUCCUGGUGUAGCGGUGAAAUGCGUAGAUAUCAGGAGGAACACCGGUGGCGAAGGCGGCUACCUGGACAGAAACUGACGCUGAGGCGCGAAAGCUAGGGGAGCAAACAGG
rnacentral:rRNA from 1 species